GCAACCAUGGCUUUGGUCUCCAUCUUCAUCUGGACGCUGACCCUCUGGACUCAAGGUUCCAGUGGUCAGGUGACUGUGACUCAGCCUCCUGUCAUUUCUUCACUUCCAAAAGAAACAGUUCAAAUCAGCUGUAAAACCAGCCCUGCAGUUUACCGCUGGAGUGGUGGAGAAGAGGGAUUAGCCUGGUAUCAGCAGAAACCUGGAGAAGCUCCUAAACUCCUGAUCUACUACGCUACCAGGAGACAGUCAGGUAUUCCAGCUCAUUUCAGUGGCAGUGGAUCUGGAUCUGACUUCACUCUGACCAUCAGUAAUGUCCAGACUGAAGAUGCAGGAGAUUAUUACUGUCUGAGUGGACACAGUAUCAGUGGUAGCUGGGUGUUCCCACAGAGUUUAGUAGGUGUACAAAAACCCCCCUCAUGCAGAACUUCCCAAGAGUCUAACUGGACCUGA